rnacentral:pre_miRNA from 1 species
CAACUUUUGAGCGAUUGGCGAUCUAGUCGUUAAAUUAAUUUAGUAGUGACUAGAACGAACACUCGCGCUCAAUAAUUGCAG